GACGAACGCUGGCGGCGUGCCUAAUACAUGCAAGUCGAACGCACAGUUUCUACCGUUGCUUGCUACACCAUAGACUGUGAGUUGCGAACCGGUUAGUAACGCGUAGGUAACCUGCCUGGUAGCGUGGGAUAACUAUUGCAAACGAUAGCUAGUACCGCAUAAUAUUAAUUAUUGCUUGGUAAUUUAUUGCAAUGUGGAAUUGCACCACUACCAGAUGGCUCGUCGUUGUAUUAGCUAGUAGGUGAGGUAACGGCUCACCUAGGCGACGAUACAUAGUCGACCGGAGAGGGUGAGCGGCCACACUGGGAGUGAGACACGGCCCAGACGGCUUGGGGAGGGAGCAGGAGGGAAACUUCGGCAAGGGGCGAAAGACUGACCGAGAAACGCGGAGGGAGGGAGGAAGGAUGUCGGGUCGGAAAGCUCGGUUGUAAGGGAAGAAAGGGUGUGAGAGUGGAAAGUUCACACUGUGACGGUAACUUACAAGAAAGGGACGGCUAACUACGUG
rnacentral:rRNA from 1 species